rnacentral:piRNA from 1 species
UGUCAGCCAAAGUCCAUUCCUCCUCUU